UUCUUUCUGGAAAAAUAAUCAUAGAUCUAAAUUUUCAGGGAUGUGCGAUACGUGUGCAGUCCCCAAUGAGUUUACGGAAUUGGAUGUCUGUUGUCAUGCUAGAGUUAUUAUUUCAAUGUUACAAGAUGUACAGAAGACCAAUCAGAGGAUGACAAUGUUGCAAUUAGUUGACAAAUUGAAAGGAAAGCGCGACGAACUAGCUUAGAAUGGAAGAGGCUGUUUUCGCGUUUUCACGUGCUUGCAUU